rnacentral:rRNA from 1 species
GACGAACGCUGGCGGCGUGCUUAACACAUGCAAGUCGAACGGAAAGGCCCUGCUUGCAGGGUGCUCGAGUGGCGAACGGGUGAGUAACACGUGGGUGAUCUGCCCCUUACUUUGGGAUAAGCCUGGGAAACUGGGUCUAAUACUGGAUAGGACCAUGCUGUAGGUGGUGUGGUGGAAAGAUUAGUUUCGGUAAGGGAUGAGCUCGCGGCCUAUCAGCUUGUUGGUGGGGUAAUGGCCUACCAAGGCGUCGACGGGUAGCCGGCCUGAGAGGGUGGACGGCCACAUUGGGACUGAGAUACGGCCCAGACUCCUACGGGAGGCAGCAGUGGGGAAUAGUGCACAAUGGGCGCAAGCCUGAUGCAGCGACGCCGCGUGGGGGAUGACGGCCUUCGGGUUGUAAACGCCUUUCAGCCAUGACGAAGCCCUUGUGGUGACGGUAGUGGUAGAAGAAGCACCGGCUAACUACGUG